rnacentral:rRNA from 1 species
AUACAGAGGGUGCGAGCGUUAAUCGGAAUUACUGGGCGUAAAGCGCGCGUAGGCGGCUUAUUAAGUCAGAUGUGAAAUCCCCGGGCUCAACCUGGGAACUGCAUCUGAUACUGGUAAGCUAGAGUUUUAGAGAGGGAAGUAGAAUUUCAGGUGUAGCGGUGAAAUGCAUAGAGAUCUGAAGGAAUACCAGUGGCGAAGCGACUUCCUGGCCAAAAACUGACGCUGAGGUGCGAAAGCGUGGGUAGCAAACGGAAUUAGAUACCCUAGUAGUCC